rnacentral:rRNA from 1 species
ACUAGUCGAGAGUCCCUGCGCCGAAAAUGUCCGGGGCUGAAACACGACACCGAAGCUUAGGAAUGUGUAAACAUUGGUAGAGGAGCAUUGUUAGCGGGAUGAAGCCAUACCGUAAGGAGUGGUGGACUGCUAAGAAGAGAGAAUGCCGGAAUGAGUAGCGAGAUGAAGGUGAGAAUCCUUCAGGCCGAAUAUCUAAGGUUUCCAGAGUAAAGCUGAUCUGCUCUGGGUAAGUCGGGACCUAAGGCGAGGUCGAAAGACGUAGUCGAUGGAUAACAGGUUGAAAUUCCUGUACCGCAUAUAAACAGAACUGUGGGGACACAGACAGGGAAUGGAAUCCGGGAAUGGAUAUCCCGGUGCAAGCGAGGUAGGAGUGCUGCUGGCAAAUCCGCAGCAUGAUCUGAAGACGUGAUGCGUACCGAACAUAAGUAGGGAAGUCCAGGCCCCUGGCUGUCAAGAAAAGCCGCUAUUGUUUUAUAUGUGCCCGUACCGCAAACCGACACAGGUGGAUGAGGAGAGAAUCCUAAGGCCGACGGGAGAAGUAUUGUUAAGGAACUCGGCAAAAUGACUCCGUAACUUCGGGAGAAGGAGUGCCAUGAGAGUGGCCGCAGAGAAAUGGCCCAAGCAACUGUUUAGCAAAAACACAGGUCUAUGCAAAACCGCAAGGUGAAGUAUAUGGGCUGACGCCUGCCCGGUGCUGGAAGGUUAAGGGGAGAGGUUAGCGCAAGCGAAGCUUUGAACUUAAGCCCCAGUAAACGGCGGCCGUAACUAUAACGGUCCUAAGGUAGCGAAAUUCCUUGUCGGGUAAGUUCCGACCCGCACGAAAGGCGUAAUGAUUUGGGCACUGUCUCAACGAUACACCCGGUGAAAUUGAAAUACCAGUGAAGAUGCUGGUUACCUGCGCCAGGACGGAAAGACCCCAUGGAGCUUUACUCCAGUUUGAUACUGGGAUUCGGCAUGGUAUGUACAGGAUAGGUGGGAGACUGAGAAGGUAUGACGUCAGUUGUACCGGAGUCGCUGUUGGGAUACCACCCUUACCAUGUUGGAUUUCUAACCUGUGGCCGUGAACCGGUCAGGGGACAAUGUCAGGCGGGGAGUUUGACUGGGGCGGUCGCCUCCGAAAGGGUAUCGGAGGCGCUCAAAGGUUCCCUCAGAAUGGUUGGAAACCAUUCGAAGAGUGCAAAGGCAGAAGGGAGCUUGACUGUGACACCGACGGGUGGAGCAGGUACGAAAGUAGGACUUAGUGAUCCGGUGGUAUAAAGUGGGAUUGCCAUCGCUCAACGGAUAAAAGCUACCCUGGGGAUAACAGGCUUAUCACUCCCAAGAGUUCACAUCGACGGAGUGGUUUGGCACCUCGAUGUCGGCUCAUCGCAUCCUGGAGCUGUAGCAGGUUCCAAGGGUUGGGCUGUUCGCCCAUUAAAGCGGUACGCGAGCUGGGUUCAGAACGUCGUGAGACAGUUCGGUCCCUAUCCGGCGCAGGCGGAGGAAAUUUGAUAGGAGCUGUCCUUAGUACGAGAGGACCGGGAUGGACGGACCGCUGGUGUAUCUGUUGUACUGCCAAGUGCAUCGCAGAGUAGCCAAGUCUGGAAGGGAUAAACGCUGAAGGCAUCUAAGCGUGAAGCCCCCCUAAAGAUAAGAUUUCCCAUACCGAAAGGUAGUAAGACCCCUUGA